rnacentral:lncRNA from 1 species
CAUCCACAGUCAGAACACAGAGAGAUGGUGUUCAGCUCACUUUCUCUUUUAUCGAGUCUAGGACUCCAGUCCAUGGGAAGAUGCUGCCCACAUGUAGGAUGGGUCUUCCCAACUCAGCUUCAUCUAAACUCUCUUUCACAGAUAUGCCCAGACAUUUGUCUCUGAGAUGGCUUGUCAGGUUGAUGACUAAUGGUACCCAUUAGAGAUCCUGUCUCUAACUUGCCCUUGCUUCAGCUCAGGAAUUAGGAGCCUGACCUUGGAGCCACAUUCCCUGCCUUGGGCCUCUCAAGGACCUCUGGAGAGUCAACUGAUAGGAGGCCACGGUGGGAAGGGAGAACUGGCAAUGGCCCUUGGGGAGCUCAGGACACUUCCUGUAUCUGCCACCUCAUUUACGACUUAGAGGAGCGUCGUGUCACAGCCACAAUGUCAGAACCCUUAUGUGGCAGCAGAGAAAGAAAAUGCAAAAGAUCAGAAGCCAGGAGGCCUCCUGGGGAGCUAGUGCCAUAGUCAGCAUGGACAUGGAAGAGAGCAUGAGCAAAUGAGCCAUCCUGAGGAUGAGAGGGAGAAGGCUGGGAGAGGAGGCCAUGUGCAAAGCCACUGCAGAUAUGUUGUCUGCAGCUAUAUCUGUGCAGCACCUGUGUGCAGUGCCCACGGAGGCCAGAGAGGGCGUUGGAUCCUCUGGGACUGGAGUCACCACCAUGUCGUGCUGGGAGCCAAACCUGGGUCCUCUUCAAGAACAGCCAGUGCUUUUAACCAUGAGCCAUCUCUUCAGCCACAAGGGUUCCUUUUUACCCGUGUUCUUGCCUGCAUUUGUAUUCUUUUGACUUUUGAGACAAUUGCACUGUGUAACACAAGCUAGACUUGAACUUUCCAUUCUCCUG